rnacentral:rRNA from 1 species
AGACCCGAAACCCGGUGAUCUAGCCAUGGGCAGGUUGAAGGUUGGGUAACACUAACUGGAGGACCGAACCGACUAAUGUUGAAAAAUUAGCGGAUGACCUGUGGCUGGGGGUGAAAGGCCAAUCAAACCGGGAGAUAGCUGGUUCUCCCCGAAAGCUAUUUAGGUAGCGCCUCGUGAAUUCAUCUCCGGGGGUAGAGCACUGUUUCGGCUAGGGGGCCAUCCCGGCUUACCAACCCGAUGCAAACUGCGAAUACCGGAGAAUGUUAUCACGGGAGACACACGGCGGGUGCUAACGUCCGUCGUGAAGAGGGAAACAACCCAGACCGCCAGCUAAGGUCCCAAAGUCAUGGUUAAGUGGGAAACGAUGUGGGAAGGCCCAGACAGCCAGGAUGUUGGCUUAGAAGCAGCCAUCAUUUAAAGAAAGCGUAAUAGCUCACUGGUCGAGUCGGCCUGCGCGGAAGAUGUAACGGGGCUAAACCAUGCACCGAAGCUGCGGCAGCGAACGUAUCACCCAAGACAACUUUACGGAGUUGACGAUUGACGGAGCGAAGCGACGUCAAAGCGUUCAUUAAAGUCGAGUUGGCUUAGGGAUACGUUCGUUGGGUAGGGGAGCGUUCUGUAAGCCUGUGAAGGUGUGUCGUGAGGCAUGCUGGAGGUAUCAGAAGUGCGAAUGCUGACAUAAGUAACGAUAAAGCGGGUGAAAAGCCCGCUCGCCGGAAGACCAAGGGUUCCUGUCCAACGUUAAUCGGGGCAGGGUGAGUCGACCCCUAAGGCGAGGCCGAAAGGCGUAGUCGAUGGGAAACGGGUUAAUAUUCCCGUACUUGGUGUUACUGCGAAGGGGGGACGGAGAAGGCUAUGUUGGCCGGGCGACGGUUGUCCCGGUUUAAGCGUGUAGGUGUGUGUUCCAGGUAAAUCCGGUUCACUUUAACACUGAGGCGUGACGACGAGGCACUACGGUGCUGAAGCAACAAAUGCCCUGCUUCCAGGAAAAGCCUCUAAGCAUCAGGUAACACGAAAUCGUACCCCAAACCGACACAGGUGGUCAGGUAGAGAAUACCAAGGCGCUUGAGAGAACUCGGGUGAAGGAACUAGGCAAAAUGGUGCCGUAACUUCGGGAGAAGGCACGCUGACACGUAGGUGAAGUGAUUUACUCAUGGAGCUGAAGUCAGUCGAAGAUACCAGCUGGCUGCAACUGUUUAUUAAAAACACAGCACUGUGCAAACACGAAAGUGGACGUAUACGGUGUGACGCCUGCCCGGUGCCGGAAGGUUAAUUGAUGGGGUCAGC